rnacentral:rRNA from 1 species
AUGGUUAUGAAUAUCACUUUAGCUACUUGUAAGUUUCCUCAAUUGUAUAUUGGGUUCAGCCCAUUUCUUGGUCAUUCAAUUUUUUUUUCUCUGAGUUUCGUGCUGUGUUUUUUCCUGGCCUGUGGUGGGCUUUUUUUUUUCUGGACAGUACCUAUAUUUUUGCCAGUCCAUUUGCAUCAGGGCCGAAGCCCAUUAACUGUGCGAUCAAGCCCUCCUCUCUCUUCCUUUGUUAGAUCACAAAGAGGAGGCUCGGCGGAAGUCAUAUGCAGAGACAGCCAAGGCGUUUUUAUGGGAAGCUCAGCCAUAGUCAUCGCAGGAGUUUGGGACGCAGCUACACUGGAAGCGAUAGCCUGCUGA